ensembl:lncRNA
GAAGGAUUUGUCUCUUUCCUGCACAUGGGAUGCUGUGUUAGUGAUACGGCCUGGGACAAAAGUAUCACCGUUUGUGGAGUCAGACCAUGUGGUGGCCUACCAAGCCACUGAGAGCACAUACGCUGAAAUGGUUUUUGCCCAGUCACACAGCAUUUGUACUACAGCCAAGAGCCUCAAGAGAAAAACAAACAUGUAACAGUUCCCCAGGAGAGCAAAGCUGGCAUCACUGAGACCUUCACAAUAUCCUCAGCUGACAGCCGUGUGAAACCUAACACUUGUCUCUGGAUGUUUCUGAGGCAUCAGUGUGGCAGUGACCCUUCCAGCAGACAGCCUUCUUAAUUUAAGGACACCAGUAGAGCCACCCAGGUUCCAGACUGCCGAGAGAAAUUUUGAAGCAAUGUUACGUCAACAUAUAGAAGACCACAAUGUGUCAUCUGCAAAAAAUGCCUUCUCCUUUUAUGCACCAACAGCAUCUGUAAUGGAAAUGAGACUCCUAACUCCUAUGUUUAGGUGGAGAAGAAGGGAGGGGAGAAUGAAUCCACAAGGCAGUUUCAUUAUUCAAAAGGAAGCAGCAGUACUCUGGGCUGCUGCUCACAGCCUACGGAGUGAGGAGCUGCUCAGCUCCAUCAGAAGGGGCACUGGCAACAGUGGACUCCUGGCUGAGCCCUUGCUCUGUCUCUUCCCUUCUGUGGCCUCCUCACCUCCCGGGACACUGCCGCACUUGCAGCAUCUCCACAUCUGCUCUGCUUGUCUGUUGAGAAAUUAAACCAUGGUUGUUGGAUAAGUGCAAAAUGAAAUGCAAUCUGAUAGUGAGUAAUUCUGCUGUUGUUAGCCUGUUUGUGGUUGGUUGCUUUUUUUUAUUUCCCAGUCAUACAGAAGUCUUGCUACUGAAAUAAGCGAGGGCCCCAUACAUCUGGCUUUGUGUUUUUAUUUCUAUUGUGGGAACUGUAAUUUCUGUAAAAUUUCACUCUAUAAAGUAUACUGAUGGAUUUUUCCAGUACAGGGAUACCCACAAAUGACAGAAAUGUGAACUGACCUCACAGGACUGGAAUCUGACUUCUACAUUCACUGAAAAAUUGAGUCAAGCAAAAAGGAUCUUAUGUUUUAAUCCAUGCUGACUAAACAAAUAUUUUUCAGAUGACAUUUUAUAUACAUUCUACUGUAAUUCUGGUCCUCAAAGUUCCAAGGAACACUAAUCAUAGAGGGGCUUUAAAAACCCUUAUUAACAAUUUAAUUUCUCCAAGGUAUUUAAUCUAGGCUUUUUAAUACUUCUUUUGACUUUUUCUUUCCUUUCCUGUGCAACUAUGUAAUUCAGCUCCUUAAAAUGAUUUUUGGGAUGCUGCACUUUUAACCUUUCUCCUCACCAUGAAAAGUAGCUUAAUCUUAUUCUGUGUUUCCAGAAGCCACCCUGGAGCUCACAGACAGCAGCCUCAACUCCCCAGUUUACUAAUGUACACGCUUAAGCACCACUCUGCCACUAGAGAAAUGUAGUCAGAGUGAACUAAAACACACAAAAGAUGUUCUCCAGGCAAUACCUGGCUGGACAUCCUCAUGCCUAGUGGCAGGUCCUACAUCAGACCCACCAGCACAUCACAGCAUCCAGCCAUCCUUUCCUACCUCCUGCGCUGCUCCACCACUCCCCAUCCCCAGAGUGAGCUGCAUGCUAUGGUAUUCCUUUGAAGAAGGGCACUCCAGGGAGCCCAACCCAUCCCGCUGACAUUUUCUGCCUUCUGCCCUGCUGUACCAUGCUCUGCAGGGCCUGGAUCCUUGAGGUACAAUUAUUCUUUCUUAACUCUUCUGGCAGCAAAUCUCCAGAAUCAUCAUUACUUCCAAACACAGACAAGCAUCUCCCUGCUUAUUUCCUUCUUAUCAAACAGUGAAAUGUAUCCCUUUUAUUACAAAUAAAUGCAAAUAUUUAUUACCA